ACGAACGCUGGCGGCAUGCCUCAUACAUGCAAGUCGAACGCCCCGCAAGGGGAGUGGCGGGGGGGUGAGUAACGCGUAGGAAUCUGCCUUGGAUUGUGGGAUAACCUGGGGAAACUCGAGCUAAUACCGCAUAUUGCCGAGAGGUGAAAGUUUUUCGAUCCAAGAGGAGCCUGCGUAUGAUUAGCUAGUUGGUAGGGUAAAGGCCUACCAAGGCAACGAUCAUUAGCUGGUCUGAGAAGAUGAUCAGCCACAAUGGAACUGAGGUACGGUCCAUACUUCUACGGAAGGCAGCAGUAGGGAAUUUUGCGCAAUGGGCGAAAGCCUGACGCAGCAAUGCCGCGUGUAGGAAGAAGCAUCUUGGUGUGUAAACUACUGUCGGCGGGGAAAAACAAAAUGAUUGUACCCGCAAAGGAAGCAUCGGCUAACUACGU
rnacentral:rRNA from 1 species